GGUUUUUGUAAUUCCAUUUGCUGUUCAAUGUAUCUUGUUUUUUCUUGUCAUUUUAUUUCUGGGUUUAUUUUGUAAAUUGUGUUUUGAUUCAAAUUUUCAUACGUUGGUUGUCAAUUUAUCUGUGACAUUUCGUUUAGGCAAUUGAUGACAAAAUAUUACUACCCCUCUGGAAUUUUAGCUUUUUCUUCCUUGCUCCACCUGCUUGAAAUGAAUUUUAUGAUAUUGGAUAAGAGUAUAAUGAGUUUUAUCUUCUUUU
rnacentral:misc_RNA from 1 species